GCAGAUAGCUAACGAUAUGAGUAAUUAACUUAGGCUUUAUAUUUUAUUACGCUUUCUUUUUUAUAAAAACAAUAAAGAGUGUUUUGCAAAAUGUAAUUAAAUUAAUAAAUAAAAUUGUAACGAAAUCCUAUUAAAAUAGGGAUGCUGUUAAUGUCAAACAAGGUCACAGAAAACCGCAGCGGCCUUAGUUAGUCUAUGUAAAUUAAAAUGUACUGCAUAUUUUCUAAUAAAAGCCAUCACCAAUACUUAUUUUAAGACAAAGCUCAGUUCCUGUCUUCACCUAUUAACGAUAGCAGACAUAAUUAAGAGACGGAUAGUUGUAAGCGACCACAAAGCCUGUAAAGGAUUCGAAAAUUAUAAUAAAAAUGCGUGAUUGAACCCUAAA